CAGCCGCCGCGGUAAUACGCAGGGGGCUAGCGUUGCUCGGAAUUACUGGGCGUAAAGGGAGCGUAGGCGGGUCGUUUAGUCAGAGGUGAAAUCCCGGGGCUCAACCUCGGAACUGCCUUUGAUACUGGCGACCUUGAGUAUGGGAGAGGUAAGCGGAACUCCGAGUGUAGAGGUGAAAUUCGUAGAUAUUCGGAAGAACACCAGUGGCGAAGGCAGCUUACUGGCCCAUUACUGACGCUGAGGCUCGAAAGCGUGGGGAGCAAACAGGAUUAGAUACCCGGGUAGUCCCUGUCUCUUAUAC
rnacentral:rRNA from 1 species